rnacentral:rRNA from 1 species
UAACGCGUGGGUAACCUGCCUCACAGAGGGGGACAACAGCCGGAAACGGCUGCUAAUACCGCAUAACAAGGGAUCUCCGCAUGAAGGUUCCUUCAAAGAUUUAUCGCUGUGAGAUGGACCCGCGUCUGAUUAGCUAGUUGGCAGGGUAACGGCCUACCAAGGCGACGAUCAGUAGCCGGCUUGAGAGAGUGAACGGCCACAUUGGGACUGAGACACGGCCCAGACUCCUACGGGAGGCAGCAGUGGGGAAUAUUGCACAAUGGGGGAAACCCUGAUGCAGCGACGCCGCGUGAGUGAAGAAGUAUUUCGGUAUGUAAAGCUCUAUCAGCAGGGAAGAUAAUGACGGUACCUGACUAAGAAGCCCCGGCUAACUACGUGCCAGCAGCCGCGGUAAUACGUAGGGGGCAAGCGUUAUCCGGAUUUACUGGGUGUAAAGGGAGCGUAGGUGGCAGGGCAAGUCAGAUGUGAAAACCCGGGGCUCAACUCCGGGAUUGCAUUUGAAACUGUCCGGCUGGAGUGCAGGAGAGGUAAGUGGAAUUCCUAGUGUAGCGGUGAAAUGCAUAGAUAUUAGGAGGAACACCAGUGGCGAAGGCGGCUUACUGGACUGUAACUGACACUGAGGCUCGAAAGCGUGGGGAGCAAACAGGAUUAGAUACCCUGGUAGU